GCAAGUCGAGGGGUAACAUAGAGUGCUUGCACUCUGAUGACGACCGGCGCACGGGUGCGCACCGCGUAUGGAACCUACCUUUUACAGGGGAAUAGCCCAGGGAAACUUGGAUUAAUGCCCCGUAGCACCAUGACCUGGCAUCAGGAUAUGGUUAAAGUCUUCGGGCGGUAAAGGAUGGCCAUGCGUCCCAUUAGCUAGAUGGUAAGGUAACGGCUUACCAUGGCUACGAUGGGUAGGGGCCCUGAGAGGGGGAUC
rnacentral:rRNA from 1 species